UGGCCCCUCCCGCACAGGCCCGGAGUGUCCCCCUGUCACCACUGCCCCCCCCCCAGAUUCCCAGGUCUGCCUUGAAGCCUCUUGCCAGAGUACUGUGUCCACGCCUCCUAUCCAUGUACACAUCCCGCCCAGCUCCCCGUCCCGCCCAGCGCCAGGGCCCCGCCCAGCUCCCCUGUCCCGCCCAGCUCCGGUUCCACCCAGCGUCAGGGCCCCGCCCAGCUCCGGUUCCACCCAGCGUCAGGGCCUCGCCCAGCUCCCCAGUCCCGCCCAGCUCCGGUUCCACCCAGCGUCAGGGCCCCGCCCAGCUCCCGGCCCCACCCAGCGCCAGGGCCCCGCCCAGCUCCGGUUCCACCCAGCUCCCAGGCCCCGCCCAGCUCCC